CACAACGAUUACCUUGUUUUUGCUAAUUGUUAACGAGCUCAUUGCCUGACCAGUUUUUGAUGAGUGAACAUCAAACAUGUACUUAUUGUGUUUAUUUGAAACAAAGUGUUAAUUAUUUAACUGAAAGUCACAAAGGUAAAAGGAAAAUGAAUCCAGAUUUCAAUUCAAAGUAGUAAAUUAAUUAAAACAAAAAACAUUAACCAAAUAAGUAAAUUAUGAACAUCAUGUAAUCAACAAAUUGAGUUAAAUUUAAAUGAGUGAGUUAUGGUGAACUCAACAAAGGUCAUAAAAGGACAAACCAUCAAGGAAAAGUCAAUUCUGUCUAUGGCAAAGAACUAAAUCUAUUAAAUACCAAGUCAAAUGGCGGCGCAAUUAAGAGAACCCAAUCAAAUCAAUCAAAAUGGUGGACAAAUGAAAUUAUUGAGCUUGGAAAAAGCAUCAAUAAUACUCAGAAUUUAUAUCAAUAAUAAUAUGUAACUCUUUCAAAUUGUAAUUUGAAAAGCCAGAAGGCACUUUGAGAGAUAAUCAUGACAAGAUUAUCUAGAAGUUUUCACCUAAACUGUUGGUUAUAUUUCAGUUUUAAAUAAAAACCACUAGGUUGUAAUUAAAAGCUAA